CCGGCUCCGGGUGCAGAUUAGAGGCGGCGGCCGUAGGGGGCGGGGGCCGGGCUCCGCGCCGUCGCCUGGCGCCCUCUGCCCUCCCCUCUCUCCGCGGCCCCGGCUCUUAAAGGGGCCGCGCGGCCUCGGAUCCCGCGCCUGGAACCCCACCUCCAGGAAGCCCUCCGGGCCCCAGCGGUCCGCCCCACCCGGAGACCCCCCAGUCUCAUCUUACACCCGCGGAGGGUCCAGUCGUCCGGGUCCCGAGGGCAAGCGUCCUCUCUCCGCCGGCCUGUCAGGAGCUACCCCCAACCCCACCCCACCCCACCCCACCCCUGGCAGUCUUUGUUCGUGCGGGGUUUGCCGCGGGCAGCGGCUUCUCUAGCCCGGGGCGGGCACGAGCGCACCCCGCGAACCCGGCCCAGGCGGCGCUUUACCUUAGAAAUCCACCCUAAGCGGCGCUCUCGGGACCCGCCCUCGCAGGGUGCCCCCAGCCCGGUAAAGGCAGUUGAGGGUUCGCCCCAGCCGACCGCUGUUGGAACACAAGCCCUCGGCCGCUUGGACGCUGGUUGUCCAGAGCGGGAGCAAACAUAGGUGUGAAAUGAGUACCUGUACCAGGCCCUGGGGGCCUCGCUCUGAGGAAGGAGAGGAAGACUUCUGCCUAGGGGGCCAAGGAGCCCUGGGAGCUGUUGAAGGAGACUGCUUUCUAUACUCUCCUGGGACAGGUGGGCACUCGGGAUCCCAGAGCUGUGAGUGCAGCUGGGGACGGUCGUGAUGGCCAGGCCUCCGCUGGACCCUCUCUUCCCUACUCGCAAUUCUCCUGACCUCUGGCCUCAGAGCUUUGUCCACAGUAGGUGCUUAGUGGACCCAAAGGAGGAAGGUGUUGCUGAGGAGAGAAGUCCUGGCUGGAGGUGGACCCUGAACUCAGCGAGAUGCCCAGCCCAGUUGCGUGGCCAGUUCCUCCUUCUGGGUUACCCUGAUGACCGGCCCUCACGCACAGCUGGGUAAUCACCUGAAGGAAGAGAACACAGUGAUCGAUGCUCUGUUUAUCUGAGAAGAGCUUUCCCUCUCUGGAAUUUAUUUCAUCUGGACCUCAUUGCUUCCACAAUUCUCUGAUGUCAUAUAUAUAUUAACAUAUACAUCCCACUUAAAAAUAUAAAUGAAUAAAUUGUGGUGAAACACAUAAGAUUUACUAAUGUCUUUUUAA